rnacentral:misc_RNA from 1 species
UAACCCUCAUUCAUGUGGUGUCAAACUGCAUGAAUGGAUUUGGACGUUGCCGUAAUUGGCUCGCCCUAAAAAUAUUAGCUUUGCGUCUAUUAGCGCGCUUGGCGUGGUGUGAUAAUUAUCUUCGCCCGCCUUAGGCCGCUUCCGAUGGCGCUGCUUCUAACAGUCCCCAUGGACAACACUCUCAAAG